rnacentral:rRNA from 1 species
GUGUACCUACGGGAGGCAGCAGUAGGGAAUCUUCCACAAUGGACGAAAGUCUGAUGGAGCAACGCCGCGUGGGUGAAGAAGGUCUUCGGAUCGUAAAACCCUGUUGUUAGAGGAGAAAGUGCGUGAGAGUAACUGUUCACGUUUCGACGGUAUCUAACCAGAAAGCCACGGCUAACUACGUGCCAGCAGCCGCGGUAAUACGUAGGUGGCAAGCGUUAUCCGGAUUUAUUGGGCGUAAAGGGAACGCAGGCGGUCUUUUAAGUCUGAUGUGAAAGCCUUCGGCUUAACCGGAGUAG